AUUGAACGCUGGCGGCGUGCUUAACACAUGCAAGUCGAUCGGUAACGCGGGGGCAACCCUGGCGACGAGAGGCGGACGGGUGAGGAACGCUUGGGAAUCUGCCUAUCAGCGGGGGACAACACGGGGAAACUCGUGCUAAUACCGCAUACGCUCUACGGAGGAAAGCCGGGGACCGCAAGGCCUGGCACUGAUAGAUGAGCCCAAGCCGGAUUAGCUAGUUGGCGGGGUAACGGCCCACCAAGGCGACGAUCCGUAGCUGGUCUGAGAGGACGAUAAGCCACACUGGGACUGAGACACGGCCCAGACUCCGAAGGGAGGCAGCAGUGGGGAAUAUUGGACAAUGGGGGAAACCCGGAUCCGGCGACGCCGCGUGGGUGAAGAAGGCCUGCGGGUUGUAAAGCCCUUUCAGCGGGGAGGAAGGCUGUAGUGUUAAUAGUAUUACAGUUUGACGUUACCCGAAGAAGAAGCACCGGCUAACUCUGUGCCAGCCGCCGCCGUAA
rnacentral:rRNA from 1 species